UGGGGAAUAUUGCACAAUGGGGGAAACCCUGAUGCAGCGACGCCGCGUGAGCGAAGAAGUAUUUCGGUAUGUAAAGCUCUAUCAGCAGGGAAGAAAAUGACGGUACCUGACUAAGAAGCCCCGGCUAACUACGUGCCAGCAGCCGCGGUAAUACGUAGGGGGCAAGCGUUAUCCGGAUUUACUGGGUGUAAAGGGCGCGUAGGCGGGGAUACAAGUCAGAUGUGAAAUCUAUGGGCUUAACCCAUAAACUGCAUUUGAAACUGUAUCUCUUGAGUGCCGGAGAGGUAGGCGGAAUUCCUAGUGUAGCGGUGAAAUGCGUAGAUAUUAGGAGGAACACCAGUGGCGAAGGCGGUCUACUGGACGAUAACUGACGCUGAGGCGCGAAAGCGUGGGGAGCAAACAGGAUUAGAUACCCUGGUAGU
rnacentral:rRNA from 1 species